UCUUGAUAGUAAAACUUAUACUAAAGUACUACGAAUCAAUAGUUUAAAACUUAAAAUGCUUGGCGGUGCUGCUAUAUCGUUAGGGGAGCCUGUUUCGUAAGCGAUAAUCCACGUGAGACCUUACCUUAUGUUUGCUAAGUUUAUAUACCGUCGUCGGCAGCUAACUUCUAAGAAAAUAGGCGUUAGCUUAAUAGUUGAAGAUAGGCUUUUACGUCAGAUCAAGGUGUAGCUAAUACUAAGGAAGUGAUGGGCUACAAUUAAAAUUUAUAAUACGGAGUAAGAAAUGAAAUUUUAUUAUGAAGGUGGACUUAGCAGUAAUUAAAUCUAUAAGAAUUUAAUGAAACUGUUUUAGAGUGUGUACAUAUCGCCCGUCGCUCUCGUUGAAAAAUGAGAUAAGUCGUAACAUAGUAGGGGUAACGGAAGUUGUUCCU
rnacentral:rRNA from 1 species